GACGUAGGGGGCGAGCGUUGUCCGGAUUUAUUGGGCGUAAAGCGUGCGUAGGCGGCUGCGCAAGUCGGUUGUGAAACCCCGGGGCUCAACCCCGGAUCUGCGGUGGGUACGGGCAGACUAGAGUGAUGUAGGGGAGACUGGAAUUCCUGGUGUAGCGGUGAAAUGCGCAGAUAUCAGGAGGAACACCGAUGGCGAAGGCAGGUCUCUGGGCAUUAACUGACGCUGAGGAGCGAAAGCAUGGGGAGCGAACAGG
rnacentral:rRNA from 1 species